rnacentral:lncRNA from 1 species
UGCCCUGUUUUACCAUAGGGGAGGGAGGUUACUGAGGCAAUAUGGGAAACGAGGAAUAAGUUACCAGGGGCCUGUGGAAACUAGUGGCACCAAAGUGGACAGACUGAGACCGCAGAUCAGACUGGCAUCAAGAUAACAGCUGGGAAGUGACUGUGGGUUAAAUAUUCAUGGAUAACUUCCAGGCACUGGCUUACGCAGCUGUAAAAGAGACAUGUGCUGCCUCUCUCCAGGUAUCCAGAAAAGGCCCUCGUUCCUAAGACAACAAUUCAAGGUCAAGAGAACAAAAAAGAAAUUGAAAAAGAUAUCCAACAUCCUCUCAUGCUGGAAGCUUCAAUAUCUGCUGCAAUCUUCACACUUUCCAGGGAUGUAACCAAAGCAAGUUCUAACAUCGAUUGAGAGUUUACUAUGAACCAGGCACUGUGCCAAGGACUCUACAAUACUAUUUGGCUGAAUCCUCAUAAUAACUCAGAAAAGCAUACAUUAUUAUGAAGUCGUGAGAAUAAAAUGACAGAAUGUAAGAAAGCUUAGACCAAGGAUUUAGACCAAGGUCACAGAGAAGGCAAGAGACAGAAUCAAGUUUGAAACUUUUGUCUCUGAAGUGCCAAAGCCCAUCUUCCACCCACUAAAUGAAAUCAAUGAUUCUAUGAGCUUUCCCAGAACCCACUCAAGACUGAGGCAGUUUGGGGAUGCCAGGAUUCACCAGGUAAACUGAGGGCUUCUGGGCAGUGCCUCAGGGAGCACUACAGGGAGGAAGGCAGCGGCUUUUUCAGCAGAAGCACAGCAAGCCCAAAGCUCAGAGCUGGUUCCUCAGUCCAUAACCUUCGCAACCCCUCCCUGCUGGUGGGGCUGCACCUUCCCCUUGUUCCCUCCCAUUGUCUUUUCAUAUGACCCCCUCCCCUUACUGUCAGUAGCCCUUCAGUAACUCCUCACUGAAGGUGAUUCCCACUGUCCUGGUAGUCUGUCUUUAUUCAGGGAGUUUCGUGAGCAGGGAGUGGUGAGGAGUCACUUGUCACCUGCCUCUAGCUAUCCCCUAAGCUCCCACCUCAUUCCAUACCUGGCCUAGGUUUGAGGGAAGAGGCAUCUUCUUGGAUAUGAGCAAGUACUGGGAAGAUCUAGAGCUGCAGGCCUGGGUAGAAGUGAAGGGGGGAGAGAAAAGAAGGAAGAAGGGAGCUAGUCGUCCAGAGACCAGCAGCAGUGAUGUGACUGCAGACUCAAAACACAGAGCUCUCUAAGCCACCCUCCUCUGACUUCAUUUGGAGACCACACCAGCCCCUUUGACACCUUGAGGUGCACCUGCAUCCCUGUGCAGUCCACUGACAAAAUUCAAGGACAAGGCUGGACACACAGAGGCAUCUCAGAGGUCAAGGG